rnacentral:rRNA from 1 species
GGUCAAGCGAACAAGUGCAUGUGGUGGAUGCCUUGGCGAUCACAGGCGAUGAAGGACGCGGUAGCCUGCGAAAAGCGGUGGGGAGCUGGCAAACGAGCUUUGAUCCACCGAUAUCCGAAUGGGGAAACCCGGCCCGUAUGGGUCAUCCAUGACUGAAUCCAUAGGUCAUGUGAAGCGAACGCGGUGAACUGAAACAUCUAAGUAACCGCAGGAAAAGAAAUCAACCGAGAUUCCCAGAGUAGUGGCGAGCGAAAUGGGACCAGCCUGUACUCUUUAUCUUCAUUGUUAGUCGAAGGCUCUGGAAAGUGCCGCCAUAGCAGGUGAUAGCCCUGUAGACGAAAACAGCGAGGAAGAACUAGGUGUACGGAAAGUAGGGCGGGACACGUGAAAUCCUGUCUGAAGAUGGGGGGACCAUCCUCCAAGGCUAAAUACUCGUGAUCGACCGAUAGUGAACCAGUACCGUGAGGGAAAGGCGAAAAGAACCCCGGGAGGGGAGUGAAACAGAUCCUGAAACCGCAUGCAUACAAACAGUCGGAGCCUCGCAAGGGGUGACGGCGUACCUUUUGUAUAAUGGGUCAGCGACUUACAUUCAGUGGCAAGCUUAACCGAUUAGGGCAGGCGUAGCGAAAGCGAGUCCGAACAGGGCGUUCAGUCGCUGGGUGUAGACCCGAAACCAGGUGAUCUAUCCAUGGCCAGGAUGAAGGUGCGGUAACACGUACUGGAGGUCCGAACCCACUAACGUUGAAAAGUUAGGGGAUGAGCUGUGGAUAGGGGUGAAAGGCUAAACAAACCUGGAAAUAGCUGGUUCUCUCCGAAAACUAUUUAGGUAGUGCCUCGUGUAUCACCUUCGGGGGUAGAGCACUGUCAUGGUUGUGGGGUCCAUUGCGGAUUACUACGCCAUAGCAAACUCCGAAUACCGAAGAGUGCAAUCACGGGAGACAGACAUCGGGUGCUAACGUCCGGUGUCAAGAGGGAAACAACCCAGACCGCCAGCUAAGGUCCCCAAAUAUUGCUAAGUGGGAAACGAAGUGGGAAGGCUAAAACAGUCAGGAGGUUGGCUUAGAAGCAGCCAUCCUUUAAAGAAAGCGUAAUAGCUCACUGAUCGAGUCGUCCUGCGCGGAAGAUGUAACGGGGCUAAGCAAUAUACCGAAGCUGCGGAUGCACAUUUAUGUGCAUGGUAGGAGAGCGUUCCGUAAGCCUGCGAAGGUGCACUGGAAAGUGUGCUGGAGGUAUCGGAAGUGCGAAUGCUGACAUGAGUAGCGAUAAAGGGGGUGAAAGGCCCCCUCGCCGUAAGCCCAAGGUUUCCUACGCAACGUUCAUCGGCGUAGGGUGAGUCGGCCCCUAAGGCGAGGCAGAAAUGCGUAGCUGAUGGGAAGCAGGUUAAUAUUCCUGCACCAUUGUUGAAUGCGAUGGGGGGACGGAUCGCGGAAGGUUGUCCGGGUGUUGGAAGUCCCGGUCCUUGCAUUGGAGAAGGCGCUUUGGCAAAUCCGGGCGCGGAAUUCAAGGGUGCGAGGCCAGUCGCUCAGGCGACGAAGCAAUCGGAAGUGGUUCCAGGAAAAGCCUCUAAGCUUCAGUUCAACAAGACCGUACCGCAAACCGACACAGGUGGGCGAGAUGAGUAUUCUAAGGCGCUUGAGAGAACUCGGGAGAAGGAACUCGGCAAAUUGGUACCGUAACUUCGGGAUAAGGUACGCCCCUGUAGCCUGACUGGCCUGCGCCAGAAGGGUGAAGGGGUUGCAAUAAACUGGUGGCUGCGACUGUUUAAUAAAAACACAGCACUCUGCAAACACGAAAGUGGACGUAUAGGGUGUGACGCCUGCCCGGUGCCGGAAGAUUAAAUGAUGGGGUGCAAGCUCUUGAUUGAAGUCCCGGUAAACGGCGGCCGUAACUAUAACGGUCCUAAGGUAGCGAAAUUCCUUGUCGGGUAAGUUCCGACCUGCACGAAUGGCGUAACGAUGGCCACACUGUCUCCUCCCGAGACUCAGCGAAGUUGAAGUGUUUGUGAUGAUGCAAUCUCCCCGCGGCUAGACGGAAAGACCCCAUGAACCUUUACUGUAGCUUUGCAUUGGACUUUGAACCGGUCUGUGUAGGAUAGGUGGGAGGCUUUGAAGCGUGGACGCCAGUCUGCGUGGAGCCAUCCUUGAAAUACCACCCUGGUUUGUUUGAGGUUCUAACCUUGGUCCGUGAUCCGGAUCGGGGACAGUGCAUGGUAGGCAGUUUGACUGGGGCGGUCUCCUCCCAAAGUGUAACGGAGGAGUACGAAGGUACGCUAGGUACGGUCGGAAAUCGUGCUGAUAGUGCAAUGGCAUAAGCGUGCUUAACUGCGAGACCGACAAGUCGAGCAGGUGCGAAAGCAGGUCAUAGUGAUCCGGUGGUUCUGUAUGGAAGGGCCAUCGCUCAACGGAUAAAAGGUACUCUGGGGAUAACAGGCUGAUACCGCCCAAGAGUUCAUAUCGACGGCGGUGUUUGGCACCUCGAUGUCGGCUCAUCUCAUCCUGGGGCUGUAGCCGGUCCCAAGGGUAUGGCUGUUCGCCAUUUAAAGAGGUACGUGAGCUGGGUUUAAAACGUCGUGAGACAGUUUGGUCCCUAUCUGCCGUGGGCGCUGGAUAUUUGAAGGGGGCUGCUCCUAGUACGAGAGGACCGGAGUGGACGAACCUCUGGUGUACCGGUUGUCACGCCAGUGGCAUCGCCGGGUAGCUAUGUUCGGAAGAGAUAACCGCUGAAAGCAUCUAAGCGGGAAACUCGCCUUAAGAUGAGAUAUCCCCGGGGCUUCGAGCCCCUUGAAGGGUCGUUCAAGACCAGGACGUUGAUAGGUCAGGUGUGGAAGCGCAGUAAUGCGUUAAGCUAACUGAUACUAAUUGCCCGUAAGGCUUGAUCCU